rnacentral:rRNA from 1 species
UACAGAGGGGGCGAGCGUUGUUCGGAAUUACUGGGCGUAAAGGGCGCGUAGGCGGCCCGCUAAGUCGAACGUGAAAUCCCCAGGCUCAACCUGGGAACUGCGUCCGAUACUGGCAGGCUUGAAUCCGGGAGAGGGAUGUGGAAUUCCAGGUGUAGCGGUGAAAUGCGUAGAUAUCUGGAGGAACACCGGUGGCGAAGGCGGGUCUCUGGGCAGUAACUGACGCUGAGGAGCGAAAGCGUGGGGAGCGAACAGG